rnacentral:lncRNA from 1 species
AUAACCAUUGCUGAGGAAUUGAUUACAAACAGGGAUGAGGUGUUAGAAAUGAGAAUAUUCAUCAGAGUCAUUUAUAAUAGUGACAAGUGGAGAUGCUCUAACUGUCUGACCAUGGGGGAAUGGUCUACUAAGAGAAACCCGCGGGAUUUCUGCCAACAAUGUUUGAACUAACUUGAUCUGAAAAUGUCCCUCACCUUCUGACAAGACCUUUGAAUGAAGCUGUUGAAAAGACUCUGACGUGACAAAUACCCACCUAGGUCUUCCUCCUCCUCCCCUUGGAGGUGGCUGAGUGAUUUGUAUUCAAUCACCUUGGGCAUCUGGGCGGCCAGCCUCUGAGAUGAGCAGAGGGUUCUUGUCAAUCCUCCACCAUAUACCUCAGUCUAAGUCGUGCUGGGAGAAAUCUCACAAUGAGCAAGAAGGAUUUUUUUUUCUAAGAAAUGGCAAAAUGGUACAUUCAUCCAGGAGAUGAGAUAUUGAAAAGAGCAUCCUUCUGAUACCAGCUGCCAGAGUACCAGAGAUUUCAAGACUCCCAGCAACACAAAGCACUCCAUUGAUGAAACGAGCUGCAGGAUCCUUCUACAUCUUGACAGAAGGACAUCUGGGGCUUCCCGUCCAUGUCCAGUAAUUCACAUUUUCUAUGGGGCAUAUCAAUUAUGCAUCCACUUGCUUCUAUUAAUAUUUCAGGCUUCAUAAG